rnacentral:lncRNA from 1 species
CAAUAGAUAACACAAAGAAUAAGAAGAGCCAAGAGCACUGUUGCAAGUGCACUGCAUAUAACUGCUGCUAGAGCAGUGUCUCGAGGACUGGAAGCAGUUGAUGGGAUCUUCACAAGGUUUACUUUGGUGGUACAGUGGGGUUCAUAGGGAGGAGGAGGAUCACCACAGGGAACACACUCCAUGUCUUGAAAGCCUCCAAGCUUGGUCUUCCUAUAAAACCCCGGUAAACAGUCUCCACAUAGUGCAUUGCUGGUGGCAGAACAGUUGGCCUUCUGAAAGCGGUUAACUAGAGCACAAUCCAGACAAGGCUUGCACUUCUGAAAGCCCCAGUCUUCCUUGAAUCUGUUUGGCCUGCAAGUCAUGCACUGUGCAUCCUCCCCAUAUCCAAAGCCGCAUUCCUUUGAGAGUUCCAUUCCUGGUCCACACUGUUUGCAGAGAAUACAGUUCCCAGCGUGGUCCCUAAAUUCUUGUUCUCUGCAAUCUCCAGUCUCACAAAUUACCCUACUUAGCAAAUAUGCAAGUAAGAUUAUAAGCAUCUUCAAUUUGUCUUCUCCUUGUAAUCCUUUAGGAUCCAUUUCUUACAAUUAAACCUUUACCCCUCUGCCUGCUUGCUCCCAGCCGCAGCGGCGGGACUGCCGGUGAGCCGCAGCCCGCGCCCUCCCUCACGUCCUCUCUCUCCGUCGCCGAGGCAACACCGCGCCG